rnacentral:rRNA from 1 species
AUUGAACGCUGGCGGAAUGCUUUACACAUGCAAGUCGAACGGCAGCACGGACUUCGGUCUGGUGGCGAGUGGCGAACGGGUGAGUAAUGUAUCGGAACGUGCCCAGUCGUGGGGGAUAACGUAGUGAAAAUUACGCUAAUACCGCAUACGAUCUAUGGAUGAAAGCGGGGGAUCGCAAGACCUCGCGCGAUUGGAGCGGCCGAUAUCAGAUUAGGUAGUUGGUGGGGUAAAGGCUCACCAAGCCGACGAUCUGUAGCUGGUCUGAGAGGACGACCAGCCACACUGGGACUGAGACACGGCCCAGACUCCUACGGGAGGCAGCAGUGGGGAAUUUUGGACAAUGGGCGCAAGCCUGAUCCAGCCAUGCCGCGUGCAGGAUGAAGGCCUUCGGGUUGUAAACUGCUUUUGUACGGAACGAAAAGGUUUGGCCUAAUACUAGGAGCUCAUGACGGUACUGUAAGAAUAAGCACCGGCUAACUACGUGCCAGCAGCCGCCGUAA